rnacentral:rRNA from 1 species
GACGAAGGAUGCAAGCGUUAUCCGGGUUCAUUGGGUUUAAAGGGUGCGUAGGCGGCCUUCUAAGUCAGUGGUGAAAUCUUCGAGCUUAACUCGGAAAUUGCCAUUGAUACUGUAGGGCUUGAGUAUAGUUGCCGUUGGCGGAAUAUGACAUGUAGUGGUGAAAUACAUAGAGAUGUCAUAGAACACCGAUUGCGAAGGCAGCUGACGAAGCUAUAACUGACGCUGAGGCUCGAAAGUGCGGGGAUCAAUCAGG